AGAUACCAAGAUUUGCAUGUCGCUACUUAGUAUGUCAUAGUAAACUAAUUCAAGUCUGAAAGCUAUUACAUGUUUCUUUUGUCAAUCCUCGGGCCUGUUUACAUGGAGAGGUGGCGAAUACAAUGUACCGUAAAUGGUAUGAUCCUUGUGCAAAGUAGGACUGAGAAGAGGUGGUACAAAUGCAUGUAGAUACCAAGACUUGCAUGAUUCCCAAUAUUAUUGCAAUUCGGUAGCAAAGAUGUUGACACCACAUGUCGUCUGAUGAUGAGUUUUACAGGAUCGAAUAAGGUUUGGUCAUUGUAUUCCCUGAAAGGAACAAAAGGAGAAAAGAAACUGGAAGACCUGCAUGCCUAUCCGCAGGCCAAUGCUGGCUGCAGAUCAAUAUUGAAUGCUCUUAUGAAAACUCAUAAGACAGUAACAAAAAAAGGAAGCUGAGGAUGCUGUUUUUAAAACAUGUUCCAUUCAAAAAUGGUGGAUUGAAAUUUAAGAAAGGUGUGACGGGUGCGGCUACUGCAGGCAGGGAGGAUUUGACGGUCAGCCAGAGGAUUUGGAGAUAUACUGUAAUGUCUUUAAUGUGGACUUGCGUGUGAUUUAAGUUUUCACAAGGGUUUUAGUGUGUGUGAAAGUAUGUCAGUUUUCAAAACUGAGCUAUGACAGUUUGCUCAAACUACAUAACUCAAAGAACUUUGAAGCGGUCUUGUUGACGUCAUGAGCUUUUGUUUAAUACCAGUAUUGGUGAUAUAGGCCCAUGAUUAUAUACUGUAGAAAGUGAACAAGUUCACUGCUCGAUACAGAUAAUCAUAUGGCCUGAUCUCUGAAUGAUAUUUAUGAACCAAAAGAAGGCAUAAAAUAAAAACAUACUGUAGUGAUUUAAAUUAUUGAUAUUGUUAAACUAGAUCUGGGCCUGUAUUCAUAAAGGAUCUUAGUAAAAAAAAUUAUC
rnacentral:lncRNA from 1 species